rnacentral:rRNA from 1 species
AGUGAACGCUGGCGGUAGGCCUAACACAUGCAAGUCGAACGGCAGCACAGUAAGAGUUUGCUCUUACGGGUGGCGAGUGGCGGACGGGUGAGGAAUACAUCGGAAUCUACUUUUUCGUGGGGGAUAACGUAGGGAAACUUACGCUAAUACCGCAUACGAUCUACGGGUUAAAUCAGUGGAUCUUCGGACCUUGCGCGAUUGAAUGAGCCGAUGUCGGAUUAGCUAGUUGGCGGGGUAAAGGCCCACCAAGGCGACGAUCCGUAGCUGGUCUGAGAGGAUGAUCGGCCACACUGGAACUGAGACACGGUCCAGACUCCUACGGGAGGCAGCAGUGGGGAAUAUUGGACAAUGGGCGCAAGCCUGAUCCAGCAAUACCGCGUGGGUGAAGAAGGCCUUCGGGUUGUAAAGCCCUUUUGUUGGGAAAGAAAAGCAGCAGGUUAAUACCCCGCUGUUCUGACGGUACCCAAAGAAUAAGCACCGGCUAACUUCGUG